rnacentral:lncRNA from 1 species
UUCCGGAGAAUGGGAGAGAACUGGUGAGAACAGAGAGGGUUUGUGUUGCCAGGGAAGGAACGGGAAGAAGUUCAGACGGAGAAGACAGUGUUGGUUGUAAUCUGGUAUCUAGCACUGAUAGAGCGCCUACUAUGUGCCAGGCCUGGAGUUCAGCACUUUGCAUCUCAUCGCCACAACCCUAAGAGGGAGGUGCUGAUUUUAUCCCCAGUUUGCAGAUGAAGAAACUGAGGCAGGCAGAAGCUAAGGCACUGGCCCUGCACCACACAUCUAAUCCCAAUCCCAGCAUUCUCUCCUCCUAGCUGCCAUUAUUUUUGAAAGUAAUUUGACAAAUUCAUUAAAAGAGAAAUAACAGAAAAUAAAACAAUAACAAGUCAUAGAAAUAUAAAAUAAAUAAAUAAAAGAUGAUAAAAAUGAAAUAUCAGGGGUGGGAGGGCCCUUUGGAUUCACUGAGUCCAACCUUCUCUCAACAGUCAGGGAAACUGAGGCUGAAGGGAGAGGGCUUCCACUCGGGUGUCCGGCCCAGAACUGGGGAGUUCUGUCUGAGCAGACCAACAAGGGAGGCGGAGAAUUCUGGGACGUCCCUCAGGCCAACGAGGGUGUCCCCUUGCUCUUUUUCAGAGAAAUCCGCAAACACCACGAAGCUCCAGCAUCCGGGGAAGGACGGCGCGAACUUGGGGCUCGCCGUCACCGUCGCCCUCAGCUGCCUGGGCCUGGGGGCCCUCCUUGUGGGCGGGGGCUUGGGCUACCUGCUGCUCACCGGGAGCUGGAGGAGAAAAGGUCCUGGGCCCAUAACAGCAAAACAGGACCUGGGAAGACACAUGUUCCAUAAACACGAGGCGGACAACAACCAGUACGAGGUGAGCCUUUCUCCCAGCCCCCUGAGGAGUCCCACGAGGGGUGCAGAGAGCAGUGGCCCCGAGCCGAGCCCCGUGGAGCCCCAGACCAGGAACCAGGAAGCCCAAGAGCACCACUAUGAGGAGCUGCAGGACCCAGACCCCGCUCCCUACUGUCAACUCUCGCCGACAGUCUGAGCCGGGACCCCCGCAGGGGGGACUGAGCCCGGAGCCGCCUCUGCAGAAGAAGGUCUGGGCCCGGGGUCCGGCCUCUGGCACUGCUGGGGAGGAGCGAGCUUGGCCAGAGUUCCAGGAGGCCACGGCCAAGUGCCAGCCCCUCCCCGCCUGCUUGUGCCUCGGUCUCAUUAAACAAGACUCUCCCGUCCCCUCGCUGGCCCCGGGGACCCUCCUGAGAGGGCGGGCGCCUUCUGGAACCGAGAGGAGGAGACCCCUGCCGGGAAGCUGGGAGCGGAACGUUCGGGCUCUCUGCCAAGACCCUGAGACUGGCAAGCCCUACCACAGGGCACCCGUGCCCUGUACCACCCACCUGAGCACACAGGAGGGCGCUCGUCUCCCCUCCUCACCUCCCGGCUGGGAAAUCACCUCCUGACCCUAGUUCCCCCUCUAGUAAACAGGGGGUGGAACUAGAUUGCAGGAGAGAAAGGAAUGUGCACUUAUUAAGUGCCUACUGUUUGCCAGCUGCUGUGGUAAGCACAUCUAUAAAGAUCUCCUCUGAUACGACCCAGAGAGGUAGGGGCUAGUAUGAUGCCCAUUUUACAGCUGAGGAACCGGAGGCAAACUGGGGUUGGUGGGGGUUUUUAAGUGAUUUGUCUGCCUCCGAUUCUUACUUCUGCCAUGGCUCUGGGCAGUUAGCUUCCCCAGGCCUCAGUUUUCACAUCUGUAAAAUGAGUUGAGGUCUGAAAUCUAUGACCCAGCAAGACCUCAAUGGUCUGGAGGAGAGGGCAGGAUCCUCCCCCAAGAUCUGUCUGCCCCCAGCUCCAGGACAACUGUAACAGCCCCGCUCCUCCAUGGGGGGUCAUGACAUCCAGCCCCCUGCCUCUGCCUCCCAGGUCACCAGAUCUUGGGUGUCCGAGGGAGGGGCGGUUCCGGUCACCACGUUUGAUUGCUCUUCUCUUGGCGCUGAAAGGACAAGGACCUGGCUCCGGGGGCCUUCUUGGGCACUGCCAGGCGGGGCGAAGCCGCCGGGCACCUGAGGUCCCUUUGGGCUCGGACAAUAGGCCAUUGUGGGCAUCAAGUUUGGCUGGGGAUGAAAGCGCCCGCCAGGGGGCAGCACAGCCACACACACCGACGGCUCCGAACAGCGGGACUCUGUUCCUUUGUUUCCAAUUAAAAUUCCACCUUCGGAGGGUCUGUGGGAGGGCUGUGCCCUGCCUUCCGUCUGUGGCAGGAGCGGCGGGCUCGGAACCCCUUGUGGGGCGUAGAGGAGGAGGGCUCCCAGCAGCCCCCAGAGUUCUCCCAACAGCCCCUAGAGCUCUCCCAGCAGCCCCCAAAAGCUCUCCCAACAGCCCCUAGAGCUCUCCCAGCAGCCCCUAGAGCUCUCCCAACAGCCCCCAGAGCUCUCCCAGCAGCCCCCAGAGCUCUCCCAGCAGCCCCUGAGAGCUCUCCCAACAGCCCCCAGAGCUCUCCCAACAACCCCCCUAACUCUCCCAACAACCCCU